rnacentral:rRNA from 1 species
GACGAACGCUGGCGGCGUGCUUAACACAUGCAAGUCGAACGGUAAGGCCCUUCGGGGUACACGAGUGGCAAACGGGUGAGUAACACGUGGGUGAUCUGCCCUGCACUUCGGGAUAAGCCUGGGAAACUGGGUCUAAUACCGGAUAGGACCACUGCCUGCAUGGGUGGUGGUGGAAAGCUUUUGCGGUGUGGGAUGGGCCCGCGGCCUAUCAGCUUGUUGGUGGGGUGAUGGCCUACCAAGGCGACGACGGGUAGCCGGCCUGAGAGGGUGACCGGCCACACUGGGACUGAGAUACGGCCCAGACCCCUACGGGAGGCAGCAGUGGGGAAUAUUGCACAAUGGGCGCAAGCCUGAUGCAGCGACGCCGCGUGGGGGAUGACGGCCUUCGGGUUGAAAACCUCUUUCAGCACCGACGAAGCGCAAGUGACGGUAGGUGCAGAAGAAGGACCGGCCAACUACGUGCCAGCAGCCGCCGUAA